rnacentral:rRNA from 1 species
GACGAACGCUGGCGGCGUGCUUAACACAUGCAAGUCGAACGGUAAGGCCCUUCGGGGUACACGAGUGGCGAACGGGUGAGUAACACGUGGGUGAUCUGCCCUGCACUUCGGGAUAAGCCUGGGAAACUGGGUCUAAUACCGGAUAGGACUCCGGACUGCAUGGUCUGGAGUGGAAAGCUUUUGCGGUGUGGGAUGGGCCCGCGGCCUAUCAGCUUGUUGGUGGGGUGAUGGCCUACCAAGGCGACGACGGGUAGCCGGCCUGAGAGGGUGACCGGCCACACUGGGACUGAGAUACGGCCCAGACUCCUACGGGAGGCAGCAGUGGGGAAUAUUGCACAAUGGGCGCAAGCCUGAUGCAGCGACGCCGCGUGAGGGAUGACGGUCUUCGGGUUGUAAACCUCUUUCAGCAUCGACGAAGCGAAAGUGACGGUAGGUGCAGAAGAAGGACCGGCCAACUACGUGCCAGCAGCCGCGGUAA